CGUUGCAACUUUGAAAAGUCACUAAAUGAAUGAUUGCUAUUUUUUUAAAAAAAAGAAAGAAUUACUUGAGAGUAUCCUUGUAAAAUCCCAGUCAUCUGCAGAGAGAGCCGUGUGGAUCAGCUUCCCAAACAUGAAGCAAUGGAAGACUUCUAUUUCAGUGAAUGCUAUAAACAUGAGCCUCUUGCUCUCGCUCUACCAUGAUGAAUAUAGUACAAGCAGUCCUUGAAUUACAACUAUAAUAUAUACACCCAUCUCCUCCCACAUAUGACUG